AAUUCUCAAAAACCCUUUCCUUUGAUCGGAUUUUUGGACUUGGAGGUUCAAUGCUCGCCUUCAGCUUUUGAAAGCGAGCUCCUCUCAAAUAAAUUAGUGGGGUCCGCUUUGCUGGUCCUUGACGUGAUAAGAUGUUUCUACGUUUUCGACUUGGCACUGUCCCUUGGAUCCUGCUUCUAACCUGUCCGUCUCACGGACAACGAUGGUGCUCCGCUCACCGCCACUUACAUCGGCGGGGAGGCUGGACCCACCAAAACGAA
rnacentral:misc_RNA from 1 species